AUCCAGUUGACGAGUCCCAAAUCGGACGAAAUACGCGAUAUCCUGGAU
rnacentral:hammerhead_ribozyme from 1 species